rnacentral:rRNA from 1 species
AUGAACGCUGGCGGCGUGCCUAAUACAUGCAAGUCGAGCGAACGGACGAGAAGCUUGCUUUUCUGAUGUUAGCGGCGGACGGGUGAGUAACACGUGGAUAACCUACCUAUAAGACUGGGAUAACUUCGGGAAACCGGAGCUAAUACCGGAUAAUAUUUUGAACCGCAUGGUUCAAAAGUGAAAGACGGUCUUGCUGUCACUUAUAGAUGGAUCCGCGCUGCAUUAGCUAGUUGGUAAGGUAACGGCUUACCAAGGCAACGAUGCAUAGCCGACCUGAGAGGGUGAUCGGCCACACUGGAACUGAGACACGGUCCAGACUCCUACGGGAGGCAGCAGUAGGGAAUCUUCCGCAAUGGGCGAAAGCCUGACGGAGCAACGCCGCGUGAGUGAUGAAGGUCUUCGGAUCGUAAAACUCUGUUAUUAGGGAAGAACAUAUGUGUAAGUAACUGUGAACAUCUUGACGGUACCUAAUCAGAAAGCCACGGCUAACUACGUG